rnacentral:lncRNA from 1 species
CGUUUAUGUUUCAAAGACCAAGAUUGUAAUACACUGGCGUCGUCUGGAGUUUAACUUUAGGUUUUGAUAUACUGGCAGAACGUUUCAACGAGAACAUACUAUAUAAAAAAGGGUUUUAAUAUACUGGCAGAACUAUACUGUGCUAUUUCAGGAUGGCACGACCACCCUGUUGCUGUUUGACGACAAACUACAGCAAUUAUUCAACAUCUACAAAGAACAAAACACUUGCGAUACCGAGUUUGAGGGAACUGACUACGAUUUCCUCAUGGAAAUUCUUUUAACUGUUGAGGCGAAAGUACUCUUUAACAACAAAAGAAAUGUUGUCUCCAUAGAGAAACUUUCUACUUCAUAACAUAUAUAUACAGCAUGUUUAUAUAAACUAUAUUCUUUAGACGGUCAACAUUAGAUUGUGCAUGACUUUGUUGCCGAAAACACUUCAGCCAUUCUUGCCACUUUUUAGAAGUUUUCCAUGUACUGUUCUGUUAUCUUUGUUCUGUUAUCUUUGUUCUGACAUUUUAAAAUUCCACAGAAACGCUCUUUAGUUUAAAUAUUUUUUCUAUGAAUAGAAUGUUUCUCCAAUGCCUUACUAUUUAACAAUUUAUAUAAAUUAUUUUAGGCAGAAACACUAAAUAUAACUGUAUUGUUGUUUUUCAAGAUUAUGCGGCAAACUAUAAACGUACCUUUACCCCUUAGUUCGGUAUUAGGCAGAUUUAAAAAGACCUUACGGUCGUCAAAUGUCAACUUAAAAAUGACGUUCUAUCUCCAUGCAAGGAUACGUCUUUGGCGUCUAUAUAAAUCUGCUUAACAUAAUGAUAAGUACAAUUUUUUGUCUUAUUUCUGUGACAACUCUGUGUUAUGCUAUUGAAGGCAGCAUUACUACCCUUUGGGUAACCUAGUCUAUACAAUUGUAAAAAUAUGAUCGGAAUGUGCAAC